rnacentral:rRNA from 1 species
UACGUAGGGUCCAAGCGUUGUCCGGAGUUACUGGGCGUAAAGCGCGCGCAGGCGGCGGCGCUGGCCCGGCGUGAAAGCCCCCGGCUCAACCGGGGAGGGUCGUCGGGGACCGCACCGCUUGAGGGCGGUAGGGGCUGGUGGAAUGCCUGGUGUAGUGGUGAAAUGCGUAGAGAUCAGGCGGAACACCCGUGGCGAAGGCGGCCAGCUGGGCCGUCCCUGACGCUGAGGCGCGAAGGCGUGGGGAGCGAACGGG